rnacentral:rRNA from 1 species
GUUAGUUGCUAUGGGCGUUCGGUGGAUGUCUUGGCAUGAGUGGCUGAUGAAGGACGUGGCGGCCUGCGUUAUUCCCUGGGGAGUUGGCGAGCGAGCGUUGAUCUGGGGGUUUCCGAAUGGGGUAACCUAGCCUCCUGUUUGGGGGUUACUGCGCACUGAAUUGAUAGGUGUGUGGGAGGUACGAGGGGAAGUGAAACAUCUUAGUACCCUUAGGAGAAGAUAUUUCGUGAGUAGUGGUGAGCGAAAGCGGAUGAUGGCUAAACCGUGUGCGUGUGAUACUCGGCAGGGGUUGCGUGUGCGGUGUUGUGGGGUCUUUUUGUUGCUUGUCUGCCGGCGAGUAGAUUCCGGGAUGAUUGUUUUGGCGAAGGGUUUGGAAUGGCCUGCCGUAGUGCGUGAGAGUCGUGUAGUUUUUGAUGAUUGUUCUGGUUUGGAGAAGGUGCCCGAGUAGUGCGGGACUCGUGGAAUCUCGUGUGAAUCUGCCCAGACCACUGGGUAAGCCUGAAUACUUACUUGUGACCGAUAGUGGAUUAGUACCGUGAGGGAAUGGUGAAAAGUACCCCGGGAGGGGAGUGAAAUAGUUCCUGAAACCGGGCGCUUACAAGCCGUCAGAGCCUGUUUGUUGGGUGAUGGCGUGCCUAUUGAAGAAUGAGCCUGCGAGUUAGUGACAUGUGGCUUGGUUAACCCGUGUGGGGUAGUCGUAGCGAAAGCGAGUCUGAUAAGGGCGUUUGGUCGCGUGUUCUAGACCCGAAGCGGGGUGAUCUACGCAUGGUCAGGUUGAAGCUAUGGUAAGACGUGGUGGAGGACCGAACCCACUUCAGUUGAAAAUGGAGGGGAUGAACUGUGCGUAGGGGUGAAAGGCCAAUCAAACUCCGUGAUAGCUGGUUCUCCCCGAAAUGCAUUUAGGUGCAGCGUUGAGUUUAGGUUUGUGUGAGGUAGAGCUACUGGUUGGUCAAUGGGCCUUGUUGGUUACUGAGACCAGCCAAACUCCGAAUGCGCAUUAAACUAUUGCUUGGCAGUGAGACAGCGGGGGAUAAGCUUCGUUGUCAAAAGGGAAACAGCCCAGAUCGCCGGUUAAGGCCCCUAAGGGUAUGCUUAGUGGGAAAGGAUGUGUAGUUGCUGUGACAGCCAGGAGGUUGGCUUAGAAGCAGCCAUCCUUGAAAGAGUGCGUAAUAGCUCACUGGUUUAGUGAUUGCGCGCCGAUAAUUUAGCGGGGCUUAAGCAUACCGCCGAUACCGUGGCUUCCAUACGUGUGCUGGCUGCUCUUUGUUGGGUGGUUGGUGUGUGGUUGGGUAGGGGAGCGUCCUGCAUGAGGUGAAGUUUCGGAGUGAUCCGGGGUGGAUUGUGUGGGAGUGAGAAUGCAGGCAUGAGUAGCGAUUGAGAAGUGAGAAUCUUUUCCGUCUUAUAACUAAGGGUUCCAGGGGUAGGUUCGUCCGCUCUGGGUUAGUCGGGUCCUAAGGCGAGGCCGUCAGGCGUAGUCGAUGGUUAACCAGUUUUUAUUCUGGUACCGGCAUAUUCUCGUUCAGUGGUGAGGCGCAUAGUACUAACCAAUAUUUACUGCUGGUUUUCCCUUUCGGGGGUUUGCUGGUGGUGGUCUUGGGACCGAUGUGUGUAGUAGUCAAGCGUGUUAACAGGGGUGACGCAGUUAGAUAGCUCAGCGUCGUGAUGGUUUACGGCGUUCAAGCAUGUGGCCUAUCGGGUUGGUAAAUCCGCUCGUGUUUGGGUGAGGUGUGAUGGUGACCUGUUUUUGUGGGGAUAUUGGGUGAUUCUGUGCUGUCUAGAAAAGCCUCGGCGUUAGAGGGUGUGUUGCCCGUACCCUAAACCGACACAGGUGGUUUGGUAGAGAAUACUAAGACGUGCGAGUGAAUCAUGGUUAAGGAACUCGGCAAAAUGCCUCCGUAACUUUGGGAGAAGGAGGACCCGGCCUUUUACAUUACCUUUGCGGUUUUGGUGGGGGUUGGGGCGCAGAGACCAGGGGGAAGCGACUGUUUAUCAAAAACAUAGGUGUGUGCGAAGCCGUAAGGCGAUGUAUACGCACUGACGCCUGCCCGGUGCUGGAAGGUUAAGAGGAACCCUUAAUCGGCUUUUGUUGGUGAAGGGGUGAAUUUAAGCCCCAGUAAACGGCGGUGGUAACUAUAACCAUCCUAAGGUAGCGAAAUUCCUUGUCGGGUAAGUUCCGACCUGCACGAAUGGCGUAACGA